rnacentral:rRNA from 1 species
UGAGUACGAGAUGCUACGGCAUCGAAGCAGUCUAUGUCAUACUUCCAAGAAAAGCUUGCAAUGUCAUAAACAAAUAAUGCCUGUACCAUAACCGACACAGGUGGGUAGGUAGAGUAUACUAAGGGGCGCGAGAUAACUCUCUCUAAGGAACUCGGCAAAAUGACUCCGUAACUUCGGGAGAAGGAGUGCCUUAUUUUUAUAAGGUUGCAAUAACAAGAUCCAAGCAACUGUUUACCAAAAACACAGGUCUCCGCUAAGUCGUAAGACGAUGUAUGGGGGCUGACGCCUGCCCAGUGCCAGAAGGUUAAAGAAGUUGGUUAGCAUUAGCGAAGCUGAUAACUGAAGCCCUGGUGAACGGCGGCCGUAACUAUAACGGUCCUAAGGUAGCGAAAUUCCUUGUCGGGUAAGUUCCGACCCGCACGAAAGGCGUAAUGAUUUGGAUACUGUCUCGGAGAGGGGCUCGGUGAAAUAGACUUGUCUGUGAAGAUGCGGACUACCUGCACCUGGACAGAAAGACCCUAUGAAGCUUUACUGUAACUUGAGAUUGAAAUUGGACUUUAUCUGCGCAGUACAGGUGGGAGACGUUGAAAAUAUUCUUGCGGGAAUAUUGGAGUCAUCAGUGAGAUACCACUCUUAUAAUGUUAGAUUUCUAACUUUGUAUCAUUAUCUGGUCAAAGAACAGUUUCAGGCGGGCAGUUUGACUGGGGCGGUCGCCUCCCAAACGGUAACGGAGGCGCACAAAGGUUUCCUCUGAACGUGUAGAAAUCGUAUCUAGAGUGUAAAGGCAUAAGGAAGCUUGACUGUGAGACCUACAAGUCGAGCAGGGACGAAAGUCGGUCUUAGUGAUCUGACGGUGCUGAGUGGAAAGGCCGUCACUCAACGGAUAAAAGUUACUCUAAGGAUAACAGGCUGAUCUCCCCCAAGAGUUCACAUCGACGGGGAGGUUUGGCACCUCGAUGUCGGCUCAUCGCAUCCUGGGGCGGUAGUACGUCCCAAGGGUUGGGCUGUUCGCCCAUGAAAGCGGUACGCGAGCUGGGUUCAGAACGUCGUGAGACAGUUCGGUCCAUAUCCGGUGUAGGCGUUAGAAUAUUGAGAGGAGCCUUCUUUAGUACGAGAGGACCGAGAAGGACAUACCUCUGGUGUACCAGUUAUCGUGCCAACGGUAAACGCUGGGUAGCCAUGUAUGGAGAGGAUAACCGCUGAAAGCAUCUAAGUGGGAAGCCCACCUCAAGAUAAG